AUGGCCGGUGCCACUUGGAUUUCACGACCUGGCCAUGAUCCCCACGGCCCACUCCUUGCUGUGAUCUACAACUACUUCUCUGACCCCUCUGCAUGGUGGAGUGCUGCACUGGAACAGGAGUGGCUGCCAGGCCGGUUCUAUUGGUUUAGCUGGGGUUGUUACUGCCUGUUCCGGGUUGUUACUGCCUGCUCAGGGUUGUUACUCUCUGUUCCGGGUUGUUACUGCCUGUUCAGGGUUGUUACUGCCUGUUCUGGGUUGUUACUGCCUGUUUGGGGUUGUUACUCUCUGUUUGGGGUUGUUCCUGCCUGUUCAGGGUUGUUCCUGCCUGUUCGGGGUUGUUUCUGCCUGUUCCAGAUUGUUACUCUCUGUUUGGGGUUGUUCCUGCCUGUUCGGGGUUGUUCCUGCCUGUUCGGGGUUGUUCCUCUCUGUUCGGGGUUGUUCCUGCCUGUUCGGGGUUGUUCCUCUCUGUUCGGGGUUGUUCCUCUCUGUUCAGGGUCGUUACUCUCUGUUCGGGGUUGUUUCUGCCUGUUGGGGGUUGUUACUGCCUGUUUGGGGUUCUUCCUCUCUGUUCNGGGUUUUUACUGUCUGUUCAGGGUUGUUACUGCCUGUUUGGGAUUCUUCCUCUCUGUUCCGGGUUGUUACUGUCUGUUCAGGGUUGUUCCUCUCUGUUCCGGGUUUUACUGUCUGUUCGGGGUUGUGUUACUGUCUGUUUAGUCCUGUGAGAUGCUGCACAGGGGGGUGCACAGUUCUGGGUACCAGAAAGGGCCACAUGGAUGCUCAGUGUCAGGUCCCCUGUGUUGUGCAGGUCUGUCUCUUCACAAACACUCCCACGUGUAUUUAGCAUGUACAUGGGCUGCGUCAGCACUGCCCUCAACGCACAUUAGGAAGCCAGUUCCUGAACAUAGCCCCCUAAUUACAGCACCAGGGAGUUUAUUGACAAACUGGCCCCUCACCUUACUGAAAAAUUUACAUGGACACAGCCCUCAAUCAUCUUAGGUCACCCACUGAAUUUCUAGGCAAGGACCUGUUUUCUUUCCAGGGAAGCCACGCGGGCCCACAUUUCACUGCUUCUGAAUCAGCUCCAGCCACCCCCGGAGUGACGCAGCCAAGCAGCUGCCCUGCCAUGCCCACCCGUCCCUGCCCCUGACUCUGCCGUAGCUGAUUUAGGGGAGGCAGGGGGCAUAUAAACGUGAAUUUGCAGCAUGCCGGGCGAAGACGAUCGUCGAUCAAGUUCUUUCAUAAAUCCAGAGUGAGGCGGCAACAGAAAAAUGGCUGAAAUGGCCUCACUGACUCACUGCCCCUUUAUUCAACAACAUCUGUGGGGCCUCCCGCGAGGCAGGCGCUGCUGUGCAGGUGCACGGGGAAAGGGUUCCUCGUGGCCAGCGUCUCUGCACGCCACGCCUUCCAUAAAGCAGCACUUCUUACCCCAGUUCCCCCUGUCGUCUUCCAGGGCCGGUAUCAUUUCAGCUUAACAUUCGUAGACCAGCCUACAACACCCUAAAUAAUUUACCCCAAAACCUCAGUCUCCCUGUCUCUGUCCUAAGGACACCAGCAGACUCAUAACAUGAGGCAACCCUUUCUUUUUCUCUCUGAUGAUGUAAAGCUGCUUAAGUUUUUACUGGCUAGGUCUGCUCUCCCAUGAAAUAUUUAUUCCCACGUGGCCCCAGAGCAUUUCUUUCCUUGGAAAGCAGCCCCCACCUCUGCCACCCCAGAGAGGAGACAUCGGAGCUCUCAGGAGGGGUUGACUCAGAGAGGAGAGGACGGCGGGGAGCUGUAUUGCUGGGGACCAGGCUGGGGUCUCAGGGCCUGAGCCCCUUUCCCUGACCUGCACCCAGCCCUGGCCCAAGGCAGCCAGAUGAGGUCAUGGUCACCAUGAAUAUUUAAGGAGAUCUUUUUAAUGUUCACACAUGGAUUGCUGCUGAAAUGCAAUCCCCCAUCACCAUAGGUGCUUCCUGGAUGCCCUGGAGAAAUAGGUCUCUGUGGAACCAGGGCCAAGGGAGAGGAAGAAGGGGCAGGGCCCUGACCAGGACUCAGCUGUGAGGCAGGGCCCAGCAGGCUCAGGAGCGCAUUGUCUCAGGGAGAUCGACACGGAACACCAAACGGCUUCAUUUUAUCAUGGCAGCCCCUCCCGGUUUAGACCAGGAAAAUUAAUUUGUAAAUGCUCUAGAAAUAAAUGAGAGAGAGAGAGAGAGAGAGACAGAGACAGAAAGAGAGACAGAGAGACCGAGAGACAGAGAGACAGAGACAGAGAGAGAGAGACACAGAGAGAGAAAGACAGAGAGAGACACAGAGAGAGAGAGAGAGAGAGAAGCCAACACUAACCCUAGCUGCUUCUGCUGCUUCUGCCGUUUAGGAAGCUUGGCAGGAGAACCACCUCCGCCUGCCCCUCGAUCUUGGCCUCCAACUUCCCAGUUUCUAUUUCAACCAGAAGAGAAAAUGCUGAGCCCUCACUGACCAUGGGAGAGUCAGCUGCUCAGCUGCUCAGCCCCGCGGCCUCAGAAGGGGCAGAGGUCUCAGGCCUACCGGCCUGUGGUGGCCUCCUUAUUCUCCAGAGCCAUCCUGGGCCGGGGCCGCCCAGCCCACUGCCCGAGCCAAGCACCCUCCCCGCUAGGGCCAGACCGAACCCCAUGUGGGGUGAAGGCAGAGCCAAGCUGAAAACCAAGGAGAGGCUGUACCCAGGCAGUCCCAGCCACCUGCAAGGGGCAGCACCAUCCAAGAUUCCGUCGAGUAUGAGACACCUUGGAACGUUAUUUAGACAGAUUCGUAAAACGUUUUAUGCCCAGGGAUUUGAUAAGCCUUUGAAACAUGAUAACUAAAUAUAGAGAAGCCACAGAAGCAGAGAGAGGUCCACUUGGCUCAGGGGACGGCACUGCUUUCCUGGGGCUGGGGACCCUUAGCAAGUGCUGGCACUGGGCACCCACACAGCAGGAAGGUUCUCGCAGUCCUGGAGGCCGACGUGAGACCAGGCAUCCGGCAGGGCCAGGCUCCCUCUGAAGGCGCCGGGAAGGGCCUGUCCCAGGCCUCCUCCUGGGCUUUGGUGGGCAUUUUCUCCUGCCUCUGUGCCACCAUCCCUCUAGGCCCGCCUGGGUCCACGCCCCUUUUAUAAGGACACCGGUCACACCGGUCAGGGGUGACCCCGUGGCCUCAUCGUCACACACACCUUCAAUGACCCUGUCUCCAAAGAAGUCACGCUCUGAGUCUAGGGUCAGGCCGCCCACCUGCGGAUGUGGGGGCACAGGUUAGCCCAUCACAGACCUGAGUCCGCGGCUGGGCCCAGCCACCCCGCCACGACCCACCCCCUAGCCUCCCUCGAGGAAUCACAUGUUGUGGUUUCUUAGUGGGUAGAUUCAUGAGUUACCAUAUGGGAUUACAGGGUGCUCGCUGAGCAGCGUGACAGGGUGGGGGACACAGUGAUCCCCGGAACUGAGCACUGAGGGAGGGCACCUGGGCUGAGGGGGUCCUGGGGCGGCUGUGGGCCCAGCAGCAUCCUGGCGUGGGGCAGAGCUGACCGACCCCUUAUGCAUGACCCGGCCAGGCGGCGAGGCCAGCACCCCCAAGUCCUGGGCCGGACACCAGAUGCCAGAGCUUCACGGAGCCCCUCACCCACCUGCUCACCUCAGCGGCUGGCACCAAGGCGCCAACAGCAUCCCACAGCUGGGGAGGAAAACCGGAACGCAGGCCCCCAGUGCCAGCGGGGCUCGCUGUGAAAGGAGAGGUGAGGCUGGGUCCGGAUGUCGGGCAGGGGCAGCUGCCGCCGUUGGGGCCUGGGCUCGGUGGAAAGGGGCUCAGGGAAGGGCCCGUCGCGCACCCCAGCGACACGUGUGCAGUGCUGGAGGCCCACGGAGCCCCGCAGGCUGGGGGGGCUGACCCCGAGGGACCCCAUUUGGCAGGAACGUGGCUCCUCCUGGUGCCCCCGGAGGUCCAGAGCUCUCCCUGCAGCCGAGGUCUGCGCCCCGGGCAGCCCCUGCCCCCGCCCCUGCCCUGCUGAAACAGCGUCCUGUCGCCACAGGGCCGGGGGCCUCCCAAGGAGAACUUCUGGGGACUCUUCCCACUCCCUCACUCUGCGGCUACAGAGCCCCCCAGCCGGCUUGGGAGCGGAGAGGAUUCUGGGCUCGGCCCCUGGAGGGAGAACGCAGCCCCCAUGAGCUCUGAAGCAGCACCGGGCUGUGGCUCAGAGGGGCGGGCAGCUCCUUGUGAACGAGGCCCUUCUCCGGAGUUCCCACAGACGAAGCCAUCCCACUACACAAACAGCCCCUAACGACCCUUUUCUGAAACCAAAUUUAAAACGAGACGGCAGGAAAAUGGAAGGGGUCCUGCUCCCACCGCGGCUUGCCUCACUCGUAAGUGUCGGCAGCUGCUGCUCGCUUCUCAAGGUCGAAAGGAGCCCCCUGGACAGGACUCAGCAGGACAACCGGGCACCUUUCCAGUUUCAAAGAAAACCGCUGCCCUGGCCGGCGUGGGCCCUGCGGUGCCUGAGCCUCGCGGCCUGAGGCCUGCCCCCCCCGCAGGGCUCCUCCCCAGCUCAGCCCCGUGCCGGACUCAGGGGGGCCCUGGAAGGGCGGGGGCGCCUGGGAAGGACGGGAGGGGUGGGGACGGUGCACAGCAGCCAGGGACGGAAACUCUGGGAGCCGGGGGGACCCACAGAGGGCAGGGAGGCCAUGGCUUCCAGGCGGGGCUGCCCGUGAGUUUUGUGUCCGGCCCCCGGCAGGGCUCGACCCUGGUGCGUCCCCAGCGUGUUUCUUGGGGGCGCUGGAGGUUGCUGUUUCUGCCCAGAAUGGCCGGACACUCCUGCCCGAGGCCUCCUUCCGCCCUGCGCCUCCCAAACGUGUGGAGUUGGGAAGAGGAGCGGGCCGGGAAGGAGGGCGCGGGGGAAGGAAACAUGGAGAAAUGAGGAAAACGUGUCGGUUCUAAUAAAACCACGUCUCCCUGUUCCCGGGCACGCAGCGGGGCAGCUGGCUCCGGAGGGGGGGCCGCCCACUCAGCACAGCCGCCCAGCCUGGCCGGCUGUAAACAGCUAUUACUGCUGAUCAAAGGCGCUACAAGGACUUAAUCACAGGGCUUAAGGUGAAGGAAGUGAGAGGGGGCUGCGCACGACGGGGCACAAACGCGGCGUUCAGGUUUCCAUGCACCGCGAUUCUGCGUGCGGAGCGUCGGUCCCCGCCCUCGACAGCUGGAGUGGGGCCAGACGGCCGGGACCCCAGAGUUCAGAGGGCCACUGUGGCCCACCCGACAGCCACGUAUUCACAUGAGAGGGUGCGGGUUUCACCUCUCGAGGCGAAGGAGCCUCGCCCGACGCUGGGUGGUGAGCACGGUGAAGAUGAAAACAUCUGAGAGCGCCGUGCAAGAUGGGCGACGUAGGAAAAGCAAGGAGCGCAAUUUCUCCUCAGACGGCAGAGGGGCAGCCGGUGGGGGAGGGCAACCGGCCAGGGGGGAGGGGCA
rnacentral:lncRNA from 1 species